rnacentral:rRNA from 1 species
CCUACGGGAGGCUGCAGUGAGGAAUAUUGGUCAAUGGGCGCGAGCCUGAACCAGCCAAGUAGCGUGAAGGAUGACUGCCCUACGGGUUGUAAACUUCUUUUAUAAAGGAAUAAAGUGGUGCACGUGUGCCUUUUUGUAUGUACUUUAUGAAUAAGGAUCGGCUAACUCCGUGCCAGCAGCCGCGGUAAUACGGAGGGUCCGAGCGUUAUCCGGAUUUGUUGGGUUUAAAGGGAGCGUAGAUGGGAUGUUAAGUCAGGUGUGAAAGUUUGCGGCCCAACCGUAAAAGUGCAAUUGAUACUGGUAGCCUUGAGUACAGUUGAGGUAGGCGGAAUUCGUGGUGUAGCGGUGAAAUGCUUAGAGAUCACGAAGAACUCCGAUUGCGAAGGCAGCUUACUAACCUGCCACUGACAUUGAUGCUCGAAAGUGUGGGUAUCAAACAGGAUUAGAUACCCUGGUAGUC